AAUACUUAAAUUUGAAAAGCAGGCACAGAUGAAAGGCAGAGCAUCUAGAUCAAGCCUGUCCUACCCUCGGCCUGGGAUGGCUUUGAAUGCGGCCCAACACAAAUUUGUAAAUGUUCUUAAAACAGUAUGAAGAUUUUUUUUUUUUGCGAUUUUUUUUUCUUUUCUUUUCUCUCUCUCUUUUUUAAGCAUCUCAUCAGCUGUCAUUAGUGUUAGUGUAUUUUAUGUGUGGCCC
rnacentral:lncRNA from 10 species